CUGCUCCGGGGGAAAUCCUAGACCGAGGUCUCCCGGAUCGAGCGAUGGCGGUAUGCAACGCUGUUCUCCCUGUUAGAGGCAUCGUGUUGGAGCAGACGAUGGAUGGCGGUGGUGCUGAGGUGAUUGUCUUCCCCGCCAGCCUAAGCUCCCUCCCAAUAUCUCACACCUCCACCGGUCUCCGCCGUCACCUCACCUGAGCUGCUACUUUCACAAGUGCGCUCUCCCCUGCCCCGGUCUUCUUCCUCCCCUCUCCCUAUCCUAGCUCCUCGCUGCGGCCGAUUCGUCAUCAUCUCCAUACCCGGCGGCCGUCCCCGAGCUGCCUUGGCCGGCACACAACUAGGGUGGACGAGCUCGAUGGGGGCUGUUCCAGCCGCCCUCCUCCUGCUCCUAUCUCUGGUGGAGGCCAACGCUUGUGACGCCCACAUCAGGAGGAAAUUUGCCUCCUCUAUGCCUCGCGUCGUCGGAGUAGUAGCACCGGAGGAUAGCAGCCUCCACGACGCCCAGAUUGACCUCAUCCGCGGCAGCCCUAGGUUGCAGAUCUUGGCGGCGUUCCGGAUGGUGUUGCCGGCGUGGCUAGGCCUCUUCUAGGCGCAGACGGCGAGCCGGGACCUGGUACCUCUGGAGGCCGCGGCAAGGGGCGCAUACAUCCUUCUGAACAUUGUCAACCGGUGGAUCAGGUCGGUGAGGCCGUCAGGAGGAGCAUGCUGCAGUUGUGCGUAUUAGAUUCUCUGUCCAGGGCUUCUCCCCACCACUGGUCCUUGCUUUCCCCACCGCCGGCUUCUCCAUUUGCUGUUCCGUUGAUGGCUGCUCCUGCUGUUCAAGAUCGUUGGAGAUGUUCUUGAUCUGAUGUGUUAAAUCUAAGGGUCCAUACUAACGUGGUUUUUCUGAAAUAUUUAAUUUAUUUUGGCUUGAUUAGCACUUGGAUUUCAAAUGAGGACGGAGUUGUUUUUCUUUUGGCAUUGGUCUAAAUUUUUUUUGCCAUGUUUGGCUGUGACUGCAAUUGCUUUGAUGGACCAGCUAGAAUAUUGCCCUGUUAAACAAAAUUCUAGGAAUGUACGCAGCUGUUGAGAUGUGCUACUGCAUAAAAAAUAUUGUAUGUUCCAAGCUGUUGAUUUAUCAAGUUUGUUUCUCUAGCUAUGGUGUGGACUAUCUGUCGAUGAAUCCGACCUUUAACACUGACUAUUCGGUUUGCAGCAAGGAUAUAUAAUUUUCCUGAAACUGAUUUUUUUUUUGUUAACUGAAACUCUUACAGUCUUACUCAUAUACAGUUUCAGGUUGGUGCUCUUACUUGGGCAGUACCACCUACUGGCAGUAGAUUAGUAAUGGAUGGAUACACAUGCGCAGGUCACCCGCUAUCUCAGGUAUUUUUUCCAAAUCCAUUCAUGAAAAUGGGUGUUAGGUAUCUUUAGGUUAUGUACUUUUCUGACUAUUUGAGCAAAUUGUCCCCUGCUACUUCUGUUGGCUCGAACCGUUUGUCCAGCUGCUACUUCUGCCCGUUGUCGAGCCAUUUUCUCUUGACAAGAGCAUGCCGGUUUAGCCUGUGAUUUUUCUGUUGACAUGGACGCUUGGAGGCUUGCAAUUCAUCUUGGCUUAUUGGAUUUCUUUGGUCUUUCUUAAAGGUGAUCGGUCUUAGUAAUUCUACUGAUAAAUCUUCGGAUCUGCAGGCUGGCUCUGUUUAUUGUCCUUUUUCAGGCUGCUCUUCUUCAGGUUCAGGUCCUACAUCAGACAGUGGGUGCUGUCAUAUUCCCUUUCUUGAUGCACUGGUAGUUCAGAUUUGAAUAUGGGGUACACAUAUAAAUAUGUAUGUUCUUGGAAGGGAUUCUAUGCUAUUGAUACUAUACUGCUUAUCAACUUGAUCUCCCACUACGCCCUCAAUGUUCUGAGUUGAAUGGUCAAUUAUCAAGUGGCAUACAAGACCUACUGUGAGGACGAGAUUCAGCACAGAUAAAAAGUACAGAACCAAUACAGUUUUUCGAUCCAACAGUGCCUUAAGUUUGUAGUUCUUGCUUUGGAUAUUGGGUUACUAUCGAAGAAAUCUUCUGCUAUUUUGAAUAAAUCGGUAUGCACUUUCUUUUUCUGAAAUACUCUAUGUGUCAUCAGUAAAUAGGGUGAAGGUCAUAAUGCAUAUUGCUUGGGUAAACAAGAAUUGGAUUGGUGAAACAAAUAUUACCUAUGAACACUGUUUGAAAAGAUGGGAUUGCAUAACAAGAAAAUAUGUAGGCAACUCAUCAUGUCUUUUUAUCGCUUUCAUAUCUAUGACAUUUUUUUUUUCUAGAUAACCGUCUUUGUUUUAUCCACUUAAAUUGGCAGGGUAAUGUGUGUUCUUGCUUUGUAUCCCUAGAUUGACUACUCAACCUUAGCCAUUUUUUGAAACUCCAAAAGGAGACUCCCGUGUGCCAAUUUUUUUUUGCAUAUACAAUUCAUGGUAAUUUAGAGGAUGGGAUGCAUGUUUCUGAUACGUGGAAUCAGAUAGAUUAAUUGUUACCAAAUUAGCUUGUUUGAUGCCCGAAAACCAAUUUUUGUAUUCUGUAGCACGUAGUAGUGUAGGGCUAUUUGCCAGACAUUAUUGCUGGUUCUUUUUUAUUGGAUCAGACAUGGAAGUUAAAUUGCAUAUUUUUUUAUCUGUAAAAUUGUUUGUUCUUUUUUCAGUAUCCAAUAGUCAUGUUUAUAAGCAGACUGGCAUUUUUAUCACGAGAAAUUUCUGGACCCUUAUGAUGUGUGCUCACAUGAACUUCGUGUUCUUUUCUUUUACCUCUGCCAUUGAAUUAUUCGCUUAUUACAUUCCUUCAUCAAAAAUUAGAAUGCUUAUAUAGUGCAUUAUGUUUGCCUUGAUCAAGUAGCAUGACAGCCGUUUGUGGAAUUAAACUUGGUGCCUUGCUUUCCGUACCUUUUUGUUUAAUGGAUGAACUACUAAUUUCUAAUUUUCUUUAUAUGUUUCAAAUGGGGACAUUAAGAGAAUUUCCAUAUAUAUGCUUAAUUGCAGAAUUUCUUCGCACUUGUGUAUUCUGAUGCUUCCAGUUUAGAAGAAACUUAUAUAUUUCAGUACCGACCUUGAUUCUUUUUUUUGUUAAGCGCUGCCAUCAACUACUCAAACACGAAGUACCAAAAAUAUUCUCUUAUUUUUCUUGGUCAAAGGAAGUUCCAGAAUUGCCUUUUUAGACUAUAUAUGUAGUUAAUUGGUUCGAUCUUGUUUCAUUUUUUGCUAGGUUUCAUUGGUUCUAUCAUUGAAUGAUAACUGGUAGGAGAUCAAGGUAUGGAAGAAGACUCUUGAAUUUGUGGGAUAGCAUAAGUGAGGGAUCUGUUCAAAUAGCAGAGGAAACUGUAGUGUACAAAAUUCACUAUGAACUGCAUUUAUCCGCAGGAUUAUAAGAUAUUCAGAAGGGGAAGUGAAAGUAAACUUAAUGUAGUUCCGUAGAUUGUAGGAUAUCCACUCCACCCACACGUACUCCCUGCUUAGGUUCCUAUGUCGGAAACACUAUUUUUCCCUAUCCUGCGUGACCCUUCAAUCCUGAAAAAAUAUUUGUCCUGAACUCCACCCUGGCGUCUGGCCGUCGGUAAGUACAAGUCCUAAUAGUAAUGUGCAAAUGUACAAUUUACUGAAUGCCACGUUUGAUUCCUGCCUAUUUCCCAACACUUUCUUUUGUUUUUGUUGUGAACCUGACUAUCCUCUCAAAAUCUUCCACUCUCUCGAACAAUGAUUACAGCAAAAUAAUCCUAAUGAUUUAUGUGUAAGCAAGACGAUUGCAGAAGUCCCAACUCUCGGCUAAAGGAACUAAACAACAAAGUUAGGUUUUCCUAUCCAAGACAUGAUGUAAUGUCCUUUUUUUGAUGUUGGGAUUAUUGUUCUUAUUAUACUCUCGAAGCUUUCAUACUCUAAGUGGAUAAUUCUCUGUUCAAGGCUUCACCUAAGCAUAAGGCCUACUAUUAGAUUUUAUCAUGCUUACUUAUUUCCUCCUAAGUAAAAAGCUCCACCUUACAAGGUGGAUGUCCGAGAAAAGUGUCACUUUAAUAAGCUAGAUAUCAUUGUAGAAAGAUGUUGAUUUCAAUUUCAAUUUUUCUUGCAGCAACCACCUAAUUCCAUCUCCAUCAAAGUAAGGCUACCUCAACCACAGCAAAUAGAAUUAUAUGUGUCGCUGAAACGACCAAAGUAAUUGUUCUCGAGACAUGCUAUAAUAUGGAGUACCUCCAUAUCCAUGUAUGAUUAUUUUACCUAUGCAGUAUAUAUGAAUAGCUUCAAAUGCAUAAUUGUUUGUUCUUUAUAUGUUAAAUAUUUCAAUAAUAGAUAUAAAAACGGAAUACUUAACCUUCGUUUAUACUGCCCACACUUGAAAUUAUACUUCAUUAUAGCCAAGAAGCAGCAGAGCAAAUGAAAAAAUGUUAGAAAUAUUUUGGUACAUUAAAUGAAGAUACUACUUCCUUGACCGAUUUGUGAUUAUUUUUUUGAAGGAAAAGGAACAGUGAACAAAUUUAGACAUUUACAGGUUUUGGAUGGUUGUUUCCCUGAUCGAGCGCUGCUCUUUUUUCCCACAUAUUUGCUUUUCGGAAACAACUUCCUAGGUGCACAAAGGCAAGCAGUUCUCUUACCUUUAUUGUGUGGGAAAUUAAGUCCUUAGAUCCAUUAAGAUGACAUAGUAAUCACUCAAAUAUAUUCAAUGUUGUGAAUAAUUUUUAAUAGGAAAGUAUGAUUUUCAUAUUCCAAACAAGAAUUAGAAUUUAGCAUUUACUUGGAUUUAUGUUUCGUCCGCAUUUGUGAUUUUAGAGAAGCAAACUAACUGACCUACUUUAGGACUAAGGAGUAAAAAAGAAAUCUUCUAUGGGAGCCAUACUUAUGUUUCUUCCCGUUUAAUAUGAGUGUUGUUGACCUGUUCUCUCCUUAGUUUUUUUAUUCUGCAUCUCCCUGCUUGGUUGCUAUAGAGAUGGCAUGCUGCAAUAUAUAUGUUGUCUUUUGGUUUCCUGAUAGAGGUCAAAGAGAAGCUCACUUACUGUUUGCUAGCAUAAAAUAUUCUUAUAAGCAAUUUUCGUGUGUGGGGCUGUUAAUUAAUUUUACAGGGACGUUGUAGACUGGUGGUUCUACAAGCUUGAAAUGUAAUCCAAUAUAAAAUACAAACAAAAGCAUAGAAUACCUGUAAGAACAAACACUUUAAGUGGAAUAUUCAUCAUGCAAGUGUGUUCUCAUGGCAUAACAUAUUCUUCUGUUAUCCUUACAUGAAUAUUAGCAUCAUUUUUUGCACAAAUACAUGCAUUAGAGAUAUAUAAAAAGAAACAACUCCUUUCUUCACAUGAUAGUGCAUAGCUAUAUAUGUGUCUAUGAAGGUAGUUCCAAAAGUGGAGAAGUCUAUGCUCAUCAUCGUCCUUUUCAAUUUAUGCUACAAUCAAUAGUUGUUGUGAUUUUCUUAGUGAAGAGAUGGACAUGGAAUCAAAUAUAUAGUUGAACUUAAUUAUUUCUGGUUCUUAUGCAUAUCUCUCUUCUUCAUCUUAUAUGUAAGAGUAUCUCAUAUAUCCACUUCCUUCAGCUUGAGAAAUGCAGUUGACUUGAAAAGGUUGCUGAACUUUUGAAGGACGUCAAAGUGAGUUUGCUUAAGAGUGUUUCCGCAGUAUGUUUCACUUCCUUCAUGACCUUCGUAGUCAAAAUGUCUUCUAAUGGUAAAAUAGGAAACCAAUACUGAUAAUUAAAUUGAAGAUGCAAUGAUGUUUCACCAUUCGGUUUUACAAAGUUGAACCUAUAAAAAACUAGAGUGAUGAUACAUAAAAGGGAUAUCGACGAGCUCCACCUGAAGUGCUCACGGAUAGAGAGUCUGAAUAUUUAGAAAGUCAGCUUUUCCUUUAUUUUGCCAUAGUAUCUUGCCGAAGUUGAUCACGUGUAUAUUAGAUAUUACCAACAAGAGUGCACCAUAGAUGAGGCGAGUGCGUAACCCUUAAUGAUGAGGGUGCUUAAUCAUAGAUGGAAGGAGUGCUGAACUUGGAUUCGGUAACAUGUUGUCAUUUCCAGUCCGGCAACUAUGGGUUUCACUGCUUUGUUUGUAAACUUUACAGAAUGUUCAUAUAUGGCAAGAUAGUAAGGAUGGAAGCUAUAGCUUUAGGCACACAUGGAAGAUCAUGGCGGAGAGUUUGAUAAUUUUCUUUUUUGCAUUCAUACCUUUAGAACGCACAAAACUUAUUACUUCUUAGUCAACAUUAUUAUGAUGGAGGAUAAAAUAGCAUCUAAUCUAGAGCAGACGGUCCAGGAAGUGCCAGGAAGCAUGGAGAGAAUAUAUGGAUGCUAUCCUAUAUAACGAGUAUAGCCACAUCUAUAUCAAACAAAUAAUUAGCCACAUCUAUACCAAGUCGUUAGCCAAUGGUAGUCAAUCUGCAUUGUGUAAUAUAAGUUGAUGGUCUCUGGGUUUUUCCUCUCAGAAGAACUAUGAGCCUGUUUCUGCUUAUGUUGUUAAUGGUGAGAUGGUAUUCGAUUCUUAAUUUUUUUGGGUUAUAGAGCCAUUGCCAUCAUACGGGUCAUUGAUGCCACUGAUCGGGCAAGAACUUAGAAGCUUACCGCGGCAACUGAGUGUCGGCUUCACCGACGGUUACAAAUGUUGAGCAUCUGACGAAGGAAACAUUAGUCCUCAGAGUUAUUGUGAUGACAGUUACGGCCGCCCUAGGGUAACCUGUCAUUCAUUCGUUUGAUAGUUGGCUCCAAAGGAUGCAUACACUGGAUAGCAUGCACUAAUGAUUUUUGAUACAGGUGAUUGCUUCAAUAGGUAUUGAGUCUUGCUGCUGACAAGGUUGGCGUACUGAUCUAUGCAGCCUGCUUUAGACAUACUGGCUGAAUCAUAGACCAUAUAAGCCUUAAAAAUGCGGGACCGCACGAGCAUGUGUUGUUUUUCCUUGCAUAAGUAACAUCAACUGCUU